rnacentral:rRNA from 1 species
GGUUAGAAAAAGGUUAAGUGAAUAAGGGCGCACGGUGGAUGCCUUGGCACUAGAAGCCGAUGAAGGACGGGACUAACUCCGAUAUGCUUUGGGGAGCUGUAAGUAAGCUAUGAUCCAGAGAUUUCCGAAUGGGGGAACCCAGCAUCUUUUAUAGGAUGUUACUAUUAAGUGAAUACAUAGCUUAAUAGAGGUAGACGCAGAGAACUGAAACAUCUAAGUACCUGCAGGAAGAGAAAGAAAAAUCGAUUUCCUUAGUAGCGGCGAGCGAAACGGAAACAGCCCAAACCAACAAGCUUGCUUGUUGGGGUUGUAGGACUCAGCUGUGGUAGCUGUUGUAGAUAGUCGAAUCGACUUGGAAAGGUCAGCCGUAGCGGGUAAAAGCCCCGUAGGCGAAAUCGACAACACACCUAUGAGUAUCCUGAGUACGGCGGAACACGCGAAAUUCCGUCGGAAUCCGGGAGGACCAUCUCCCAAGGCUAAAUACUCUCUAGUGACCGAUAGUGAACCAGUACCGUGAGGGAAAGGUGAAAAGCACCCCGGAAGGGGAGUGAAAUAGAACCUGAAACCGUGUGCCUACAAGAAGUUAGAGCCCGUUAAUGGGUGAUAGCGUGCCUUUUGCAGAAUGAACCGGCGAGUUACGAUUGCAUGCGAGGUUAAGCUGAAGAAGCGGAGCCGUAGCGAAAGCGAGUCUGAAUAGGGCGAGUGAGUAUGUAGUCGUAGACCCGAAACCAUGUGACCUACCCAUGUCCAGGUUGAAGGUGCGGUAAAACGCACUGGAGGACCGAACCCACGUACGUUGAAAAGUGCGGGGAUGAGGUGUGGGUAGCGGAGAAAUUCCAAACGAACUUGGAGAUAGCUGGUUCUCUCCGAAAUAGCUUUAGGGCUAGCCUCAGAGUAAGAAUGAUGGAGGUAGAGCACUGUUUGGACUAGGGGCCCGUCUUGGGUUACCGAAUUCAGAUAAACUCCGAAUGCCAUUCAUUUAUGUCCGGGAGUCAGACAGUGAGUGAUAAGAUCCAUUGUCGAAAGGGAAACAGCCCAGACCACCAGCUAAGGUCCCCAAAUAUAUGUUAAGUGGAAAAGGAUGUGAGGGUGCACAAACAACUAGGAUGUUGGCUCAGAAGCAGCCAUCAUUUAAAGAGUGCGUAAUAGCUCACUAGUCGAGUGCCCUUGCGCCGAAAAUGUACCGGGGCUAAACAUAUUACCGAAGCUGUGGAUAGAACCAUUAGGUUCUAUGGUAGGAGAGCGUUCUAAGGGCGUUGAAGCUAGAUCGUAAGGACUGGUGGAGCGCUUAGAAGUGAGAAUGCCGGUAUGAGUAGCGAAAGACAGGUGAGAAUCCUGUCCACCGAAUGACUAAGGUUUCCUGGGGAAGGCUCGUCCUCCCAGGGUUAGUCGGGACCUAAGCUGAGGCCGAUAGGCGUAGGCGAUGGAUAACAGGUUGAGAUUCCUGUACCCGUUUGUUUUGUUUGAACAAUGGAGGGACGCAGUAGGUUACAAGAUCGCACUGUUGGAUAUGUGCGUUCAAGCAACAAGUCUUGAUAAGAGUCAAAUGCUUUUAUCUCUAAGGAUAAGUUGUGAUGAGGAGGGAAAUAUAGUACCGAAGUCUUAAUAUCACACUGCCAAGAAAAGCUUCUAGUUAGAAACAAACGGCCCGUACCGCAAACCGACACAGGUAGUCGAGGAGAGAAUCCUAAGGUGAGCGAGAGAACUCUCGUUAAGGAACUCGGCAAAAUGACCCCGUAACUUAGGGAGAAGGGGUGCUGAACGCAAGUUCAGCCGCAGUGAAUAGGCCCAAGCGACUGUUUAUCAAAAACACAGGUCUCUGCAAAAUCGAAAGAUGACGUAUAGGGGCUGACGCCUGCCCGGUGCUGGAAGGUUAAGAGGAUGGGUUAGCAAUAGCGAAGCUCAGAAUUGAAGCCCCAGUAAACGGCGGCCGUAACUAUAACGGUCCUAAGGUAGCGAAAUUCCUUGUCGGGUAAGUUCCG